rnacentral:tRNA from 1 species
GGAUUGUGGUUUAGUGGUAAAGCGCUCGUCUAGCAUGUGUGAGGCCCUGGGUUUGAUCCUCAGCACCA